rnacentral:lncRNA from 1 species
GAAGAGAAGGGUGUAAGAGAGAACAGAAGAGAAAAAAAAUAAAGAAUUUCAGGGGGCCUUUGGUUAUUGGUUAAUGAGUCCGGUUAACGGGAAUCAAAACCUCAAAACCAUAUGUUGGUGUUUGGAUUAGCCAUUUUGUGGUAUGGAAUGGGAACCUUAUUUCCACUUGAUGGGUAAAUCAUUCCUUCCACACUCCUUGGGAUACUCAUUCCCAUACCCCUCAUUCUCAUUCCCAUCUACCAUCCAAACACCCCCUCAGUUUUGUAUGAUGAUAUGUUAGAACAGAUAUGUAAAAAGUAUUAAGCAGGAAUUAGCAUUGAUGUCGAACUCUGAGAAAAACUCGUAUGAAUAGAAUGUAGUAUGAAUAUAAUGGAAGAC